rnacentral:rRNA from 1 species
ACGAACGCUGGCGGCGUGCUUAACACCUGCAAGUCGCACGGUGAAGCGCCUUCCUUUUUGGUGGGUGUGGAUGAGUGGCGCACGGGUGAGUCACACGUGAGUAACCUGCCCCCUUCUUCUGGAUAACCGCAUGAAAGUGUGGCUAAUACGGGAUAUUCUGGGUCUGUCGCAUGAUGGGUCUGGGAAAGAUAUUGUUUCGGUGGGGGAUGGGCUCGCGGCCUAUCAGCUUGUUGGUGGGGUGAUGGCCUACCAAGGCGGUGACGGGUAGCCGGCCUGAGAGGGUGGACGACCACACUGGGGAUGAGACACGGCCCAGACUCCUACGGGAGGCAGCAGUGGGGAAUAUUGCACAAUGGGCGCAAGCCUGAUGCAGCGACGCCGCGGGAGGGAUGGAGGCCGUCGGGUUGUGAACCUCUUUCGCCAGUGAAGCAGGCCUGCCUCGUUUGUGGGUGGGUUGACGGUAGCUGGAGAAGAAGCGCCGGCUAACUACGUG